rnacentral:rRNA from 1 species
AACGAACGCUGGCGGCGUGCUUAACACAUGCAAGUCGAACGCGAAAGGGACUUCGGUCCUGAGUAAAGUGGCGCACGGGUGAGUAACGCGUGGAUAAUCUACCCAAUGAUCUGGGAUAACAUCUCGAAAGGGGUGCUAAUACCGGAUAAGACCACGGGAUCUCCGGAUUCUGCGGUAAAAGGUGGGGACCUUCGGGCCUACCGUCAUCGGAUGAGUCCGCGUACCAUUAGCUAGUUGGCAGGGUAAUGGCCUACCAAGGCAAUGACGGGUAGCGGGUUUGAGAGGAUGAUCCGCCACACUGGUACUGAGACACGGACCAGACUCCUACGGGAGGCAG